CACCUAGCAAAUGCUUUUACCUCCUUCAAGUUCCAUCUCACCUCUGCUAUGGAGAACCCUCAGACCCUCCUUUCCACUGUGAAGGACCCCCAGGCCCUGCUUUGAAAAAAGGCAGAGUUAAGUCCUCUUCAUCUGUGCUCCACAGCUUCUGUGCUCACCUCUGCCACUGCCUUGACCAUGUUUUUGUUGUUGAUGUUUGUUUUUUAGAGACAGGGUAUUGCCCUGUCACCUAGCUGGAGUCGGCUCCAUCAUAGCUGACUGAAGCCUCAAAUUCCUAGUCUCAAGCAGUCCUCCUGCCUCAGCCUCCUGAGUAGCUGGUACUACACAGGCACACUACCACACCUGGCUUUUUUUUUUUUUUUUUUUUUUGUAAAGACGGAGUCUCCCAUGUUUCCCAGGCUGGUCUCAAACUCCUGGGCACAAAUAAGUGAUCCUCCUGCCUCGGGCUCCCAAAGCACUGGGAUUACAAGCAUGAGCCACCAUGCCCGGCCCCUUGACCAUGUUUUGUGGUAGUUUCUGUUUAAUGUGUCUGGGGGAUUCCCCACUGAACUCAAGCAGGGAUUUCCUUCAGAGCAGGAGCCAUAAUCAACCAUCUCUUCAUCUCCGGAGCCCAGCACAGGAUAAUGAAUGGAUGAGGAUGCCUCUGAGUCUGAGGUCUCUCCUUCCCACCUAGCCUAUGCCCAGACUCACAGAGCUGGUUUCUGCUUUGUAUCUCACUUUGAUUUGCUUGUCUGAGUAAUUUGCUUCCUUCCCCAGCUCUCUAGAAAGAUUGCUUCCAUCUCAAUCUUGCUAUGAGGGCCCAAAUACUUCUUGAUUUGUAUCACCUGCUUCUGGUCUCCUUAUCACUAUUUCUGGCUGCCUGUUGGGAGAAUCUUGAAGCCUGGGCUUCAGUGACAACACUGUAACCUCUUAAACACUUUCUGAGCUGGUAGAGUUCUCACAGCCCCUGUCCUGUUCCUGGAGUAAGUACAGGACCAGGCCCUAACCCUCCCAGCCCUCUCUAUGGUCUUAUGGGCAUGAGGCCAGGCCUCUUCAUGACCGUAAGACUCAAACCUUU
rnacentral:lncRNA from 10 species